GGGGGAACAUAUAUGUGGACAUCAUAUGACAACCUGCAGGAGUCAUCUCUGUCUUCCACCUUCUGGUUUUUGGGAGUCAAACUCAGGCUGUUAGGCUUGUUGGUCUCUGGGCUAUCCAGUCUCUGGUUCCUGGCCGUCCACACCAUGUAGGGCAUGGGCUCCCUCUUGUGACAUGGGCCUCAAGCUAAACCAGACAUUGGUUGACAACUACCACAAGUUCUGCACCACCAUUGCCCCAUCACAUCUCCAAGGCAGGACUGACUUUAGGUUUUAAUUUCUUGUACUCCUUUCAUUUUUUUUCUGGGAUUAUAUCUCGUAAUAAAUAAUAGACCAAC